rnacentral:tRNA from 1 species
UGUCCGGUGGUGUAACGGUAGCACACGGGCCUUUGGAGCCUUGGGUCCUGGUUCGAAUCCAGGCCGGACAGCCA